GGAUAACAUGCCCUAAGGUGGGGGAUAAUCUCGGGAAACUGAUGGUAAUACCCCAUAGGUCUGAUGUGCUGGAAUGCUUUCAGGCCGAAAACUCCGGUGCCUUAGGAUUGGUCUGCGGUCUAUCAGGCAGUAGUGGGUGUAACGGACCCACUAGCCCGUGACGGAUAUGGGCCUUGAGAGAGGGAGCCCAGAGAUGGACUCUGAGACAUGAGUCCAGGCCCUACGGGGCGCAGCAGUCGCGAAAACUUCGCAAUGGGGGCAACCCCGACGAGGGAAUUCCAAGUGCUAGCACUUUGUGUUAGCUGUUCUUCUGUCUAAAAAACAGGAGGAGUAAGGGGCGGGUAAGACGGGUGCCAGCCGCCGCGGUAAUACCCGCGCCCCAAGUGGUGGUCGAUAUUAUUGAGCCUAAAACGUCCGUAGCCGGUCUUCUAAAUCCUUGGGUAAAUCGGGCAGCUUAACUGUCCGAAGUCCUGGGAGACUGGGAGACUUGGGACCGGGAGAGGUCAGAGGUACUUCUGGGGUAGGGGUAAAAUCCUGUAAUCCUGGAAGGACCACCGGUGGCGAAGGCGUCUGACUAGAACGGAUCCGACGGUGAGGGACGAAGCCCUGGGGCGCAAACGGGAUUAGAUACCCCGGUAGUCCAGGGUGUAAACGCUGCGGGCUUGGUGUUGGGGGUCCUUAGUGGGCGCCCAGUGCCGGAGAGAAGUUGUUAAGCCUGCUGCUUGGGGAGUAUGUCCGCAAGGAUGAAACUUAA
rnacentral:rRNA from 1 species